UACGAAGGGGGCUAGCGUUGCUCGGAAUGACUGGGCGUAAAGAGCUCGUAGGCGGUUUGUCGCGUCUGCUGUGAAAACCCGAGGCUCAACCUCGGGCCUGCAGUCGAUACGGGCAAACUAGAGUACUGCAGGGGAGACUGGAAUUCCUGGUGAUAGCGGUGAAAUGCGCAGAUAUCAGGAGGAACACCGGUGGCGAAGGCGGGUCUCUGGGCAGUAACUGACGCUGAGGAGCGAAAGCGUGGGGAGCGAACAGG
rnacentral:rRNA from 1 species